UACGUAGGGGGCAAGCGUUGUCCGGAUUUAUUGGGCGUAAAGAGCGUGUAGGCGGCUUGGAAGGUCAGCUGUGAAAACUCGAGGCUCAACCUCGAGACGUCGGUUGAAACCACCUGGCUAGAGUCCGGAAGAGGAGAGUGGAAUUCCCGGUGUAGCGGUGAAAUGCGUAGAUAUCGAGAGGAACACCUGCGGCGAAGGCGGGUUGCUGGGCUGACACUGACGCUGAACUGCGAAAGCUAGGGGAGCGAACGGG
rnacentral:rRNA from 1 species